UACGUAGGGUGCGAGCGUUUAAUCGGAAUUACUGGGCGUAAAGCGUGCGCAGGCGGUUCGUGAUGUCUGGUGUGAAAGCCCCGGGCUUAACCUGGGAAUUGCAUUGGAAACUAGCGGGCUGGAGUGUGGCAGAGGGGGGUGGAAUUCCACGUGUAGCAGUGAAAUGCGUAGAGAUGUGGAGGAAUACCGAUGGCGAAGGCAGCCCCCUGGGCCAAUACUGACGCUCAUGCACGAAAGCGUGGGGAGCAAACAGG
rnacentral:rRNA from 1 species